rnacentral:rRNA from 1 species
UUCGAUGAUACGCGAGGAACCUUACCUGGGCUAGAAUGCUAAGUGACCGUGGGUGAAAGCUCAUUUUGUAGCAAUACACACUUAGUAAGGUGCUGCAUGGCUGUCGUCAGCUCGUGCCGUGAGGUGUUGGGUUAAGUCCCGCAACGAGCGCAACCCCCAUCAGUAGUUGCCAUCAGGUAACGCUGGGAACUCUACUGAAACUGCCGUCGUAAGACGUGAGGAAGGAGGGGAUGAUGUCAAGUCAUCAUGGCCUUUAUGCCCAGGGCUACACACGUGCUACAAUGGGGCGUACAAAGGGCUGCCACUUAGCGAUAAGGAGCCAAUCCCAAAAAACGCCUCUCAGUUCAGAUCGCAGUCUGCAACUCGACUGCGUGAAGCUGGAAUCGCUAGUAAUCGUAUAUCAGCAAUGAUACGGUGAAUACGUUCCCGGACCUUGCACACACCGCCCGUCAAGCCAUGGAAGCUGGGUGUACCUAAAGUCGGUAACCGCAAGGAGCCGCCUAGGGUAAAACUAGUAACUGGGGCUAAGUCGUGACAAGGUAGCCGUAUCGGAAGGUGCGGCUGGAUCACCGCCUU